rnacentral:rRNA from 1 species
GACGAACGCUGGCGGCGUGCCUAAUACAUGCAAGUUGAGCGCUGAAGGUUGGUACUUGUACCAACUGGAUGAGCAGCGAACGGGUGAGUAACGCGUGGGGAAUCUGCCUUUGAGCGGGGGACAACAUUUGGAAACGAAUGCUAAUACCGCAUAAAAACUUUAAACACAAGUUUUAAGUUUGAAAGAUGCAAUUGCAUCACUUAAAGAUGAUCCCGCGUUGUAUUAGCUAGUUGGUGAGGUAAAGGCUCACCAAGGCGAUGAUACAUAGCCGACCUGAGAGGGUGAUCGGCCACAUUGGGACUGAGACACGGCCCAAACUCCUACGGGAGGCAGCAGUAGGGAAUCUUCGGCAAUGGACGAAAGUCUGACCGAACAACGCCGCGUGAGUGAAGAAAGGUUUCGGAUCGUAAAACUCUGUUGGUAGAGAAGAACGUUGGUGAGAGUGGAAAGCUCAUCAAGUGACGGUAACUACCCAGAAAGGGACGGCUAACUACGUG